rnacentral:rRNA from 1 species
UGGGGAAUAUUGCACAAUGGGCGCAAGCCUGAUGCAGCGACGCCGCGUGAAGGAUGAAGGUUUUCGGAUCGUAAACUUCUAUCAGCAGGGAGGAACCAAAUGACGGUACCUGACUAAGAAGCCCCGGCUAACUACGUGCCAGCAGCCGCGGUAAUACGUAGGGGGCAAGCGUUAUCCGGAUUUACUGGGUGUAAAGGGUGCGUAGGUGGUAUGGUAAGUCAGAUGUGAAAACUCAGAGCUCAACUUUGAGACUGCAUCUGAAACUACUAAACUAGAGUGCAGGAGAGGAAAGCGGAAUUCCGAGUGUAGCGGUGAAAUGCGUAGAGAUUCGGAGGAACACCAGUAGCGAAGGCGGCUUUCUGGACUGUAACUGACACUGAGGCACGAAAGCGUGGGGAGCGAACAGGAUUAGAUACCCCCGUAGUCC